rnacentral:rRNA from 1 species
AACGAACGCUGGCGGCAGUCCUAACACAUGCAAGUCGAACGCCCCGCAAGGGGAGUGGCAGACGGGUGAGUAACACGUGGGAACCUACCUCGAGGUGCGGAACAACCAAGGGAAACUUUGGCUAAUACCGCAUGUGCCCUUGGGUGGAAAGAUUUAUCGCCUUGGGAUGGGCCCGCGUCGGAGUAGCUAGGUGGUGUGGUAAUGGGGAACCAAGGCGACGAUCCGGAGCUGGUCUGAGAGGAUGAUCCGCCACACUGGGACGGAGACACGGCCCAGACUCCUACGGGAGGCAGCAGUGGGGAAUAUUGGACAAUGGGCGCAAGCCUGAUCCAGCCAUGCCGCGUGUGUGAUGAAGGCCUUAGGGUUGUAAAGCACUUUCGCCGAUGAAGAUAAUGACUGUAGUCGGAGAAGAAGCCCCGGCUAACUUCGUGCCAGCAGCCGCCGUAACAC